UCCCGGCGCCACAAGUGGGGACCAGGGUUAUUGGGCCUAAAGCGUUCGUAGCAGGCCGGAUAAAUCUCUUGUGAAAUCGUUGGGCUUAACCUAACGGCGUGCAGGAGAGACUGUUCGGCUAGAGACCGGGAGGGGUAGAGAGUAUUCCUUGGGGAGCGGUAAAAUGCUAUAAUCCUUGGAAGACUACCUGUGGCGAAGGCGCUCUACCAGAACGGGUCUGACUGUGAGGGACGAAAGCUAGGGGAGCAAUCCG
rnacentral:rRNA from 1 species